rnacentral:lncRNA from 1 species
UCGCAGACCGAGCCAAGAGACCUUGAGGAAAGUGGUGCACCUGCCUUUGAGCCUGAAGUGAUAGAUCUCACAGGUGACGACAUCAUAGAUCUCACAGGUGAAUCUUCUGAGGCUGAAGUCAUCACUAUCAGUGACAAUGAGUCUCCUGUGGACAGGGAGCAGAGCCAGCAGCAGCCUCAUCUUUCCAGAGCAUCAGAGAAUUCUGUUGAGCCACUGGCAAGGAAUGAUGAAGAGAAACCAAUAGAAGAUGAUGGGUAUGUGAAAGUGUCUAUCAAAACAGUAAUUUCAGAUAAGUGGUUGAAAGAGGUUUUUGCCAAGCUUUUGGGUUCUGCCAAGCUCUGUGCAAGUACUUCAGACCUGGAAUGUAGUGGUCUGCCUGGAAGAGAAUUGAAAUAAACCCAGCAAAAUCCAGCAGAAGCCUUUUCUUCUGUGUUUGUGAAGCCUUGGCUUCUUAGAUGCUAUCCAUCUAACAGUGAAUGUAAGAGAAUGGCUGGCCACACUGAAAUGCUUGCCGUCCAUAAAAAUUCUUGGAAUGAUUGUAUUUCUGGGCUGGCAUGAUGCUGAAUCAGAAUAGGGGAUGUUUUAAAUGCCAACAUUUUCUUUGUUGGUAAUCUUUGGUGCCCAGUGAAAUUUUUCUCACCGUAUUUAAAUGGCUGCUUCUCCCCGUUAGUGCAUGGGCAGCAGGUCCUGCUUGUCCUCCGAUGAGGGAGGGUGACAGCUCUCAGGUGCAGGACAGGGAGCAGAGCCAGCAGCACCCACUUGGCUCCAGAGAGGCAGAGAGUUCAGCUGAGCUGCAGGGGAGCGACAACGAAGAGGAACCAAGAGAUAACAAUGAGUAUGUGACUGAUGGAGAGUCUCUCCAAAGUGUAAUUUCUGAUAUAUGGUAGACACAGGAUUUUUUCCAAUCUUUUGGGUUCUACUUGAUUCUGUUUGGAGAAUUCCUAAUUGAAUGUAGUGGCCUAUCUAGAAGAGAAAUAACAGUAAGAAAACCCCUAAAAACCAGCAAAAUCCUGUGGAAACCUUUCUUCUCCAUUCUGGAAGUCAUUAAUCAAUGUUUCUUACAUUGUGGUUGCACUGCAAUACUUCCAGUACAUAACAGCUCUUGCAGUGACUGUGCUUUUGCGUUGGGAU